rnacentral:rRNA from 1 species
AAGGUACGGGAGGCAGCAGUGGGGAAUAUUGCACAAUGGGCGCAAGCCUGAUGCAGCGACGCCGCGUGAGGGAUGACGGCCUUCGGGUUGUAAAGGACUUUUGUUAGGGAAGAAAAAGGAGCGGUUAAUACCCGUUUCUGCUGACGGUACCUAAAGAAUAAGCACCGGCUAACUACGUGCCAGCAGCCGCGGUAAUCCUU